rnacentral:sRNA from 1 species
GCCGGGCGUUGUGGCGGGCGCCUGUGGUCCCAGCUACUUGGGAGGCUGAGGCAGGAGACUCGCUUGAGCCCAGGAGUUGGAGGUUGCUGUGAGCUGUAAUGCCACGGCACUCUGCCCAGGGGGACAGCUUGAGGCUCUGUCUCAAAAAAAAAAAAAAAAAAAAAGAGUCUCACUCUCACUGGGGCAGAGUACUGUGGUAUCAUAGCUCACGGCAAGCUCAAGUUCUUGGGCUGAAGUGAUCUUCUCA